GGCAGCGGGGAUUCGACUUCCCCUGGGGGUA
rnacentral:tRNA from 1 species